AUUAUUUUUGAGCCUUAUGCUUUUGUGUGAUUAAUGUUGUGAAGACCAGCACUACCAUCUGUCUGCCUCUUGGAGACCACGAUCUUGCUUGCUUCUGUUGGAAUGGUUCUUUCUCCUUGGGAAAACAGCAUGCCAGUACCACAUAAGAAACUACUGGUAUCGAGUUUUUAAAAUGUCUGACUCUGUUACAACUCAUCCCAUGUCCCCUCCAAUGUGGAACAUAGCAAAUGAAGGAGAGACAUCACUGAAGUGUUGGAUUCUGCGGCAUGUAAGAGACCUGAGAAGUAGAAGCUGGUGGAUGUGAAUUGUCUGGGAGCCUCAAGAAUGCUCCAGAUGCCCCUUCUCCAUACAGAGUCAAAAGCUCCAACAACCUUUCAAGAGAAAAAUUUGUAGAGAGACUGUAACCAGAUCAUCUCUUUCAUCAUCUUGAAAACAGACCUGGCGUUUUCUGAAGCAUACCAGGCAUUCCUGUUACUUACUGGACAUUCUGCUUGGUAGUGUAUUCUUGCCAAACACUUGUAUAAACUCUGCAAAGGCUAAUUAUUAUUCCCAUUUUGCAGAGGAGAAAAUGGAGUCUCAGAGACGUUACAUAGCUUGUUCAAGGUUCCAAAGAUGGUGCAACAAGUAUGCAAACAAGAAUUUGUCAAGUCCCAAAAGCAACUUGAGCCCGGUCACUCAGCUAGUCAGUAGCAGAGCCUGGAUAUGGUCCUCUCAGUUCUGAGUUCUUUCCUCUGUACCUCAGCAGAGUGAUGUCAGCUGGCUGGGCAUGAGGAGAAGAAGAUC